CUGAGCACAACUGGCUGAGGGACCCAUGGCAGGAACACGCAAGCAGCGUUUGCUCAAGCCAGACCCUCGAUUGCCAGAUCUGAUGUAGCCGUACAAUUCUCUUCCAUUCACACUUAGAAUGGCCUAAAUCUAAUUGGAAACGAGGACACCAUCAUCUGUGGGAAGAUCGGGCUGUCAGCAGUUACCAGAACUACGUGGGAGCUUUUCUGGAGCAAGCCGGCAUUUAUCCGUCACCUAGAUCUAGGAGGUGAAUGUGCUGCAGUAAGUGCCACUUCAGCAAAAUAAGCAGCUUUGCACCUUCUGGGUGCUUUUUGGAGUCCAUGAAGCACCAGUUUAGAAAAAGCAAAGAGCUGACCUGCAACCCCACUAUCCGUCUCAAUCUCUCUCAACAGAGACUGAGGACUGGUAUAAAACAGAGAAAUGCUGCUGUCACGCAGACGUGGCACCCUCUCGCCCACCGGCCAGCGUCAAGAGGGUGCACAGCUGCCAGCCCUGAACCAGCUCCUGGUUCAGGGGAGAGCCGGCCCCGCAACACCACCGUCUGCUGGAGAGGGCACAGGCCUCGCCUCCCACCGCCCAUUUAACUUUCGGGGUUAAAAUAGGCAACAUACGGAAGUUACUCACUCUCAUACAUAAUCAAAUCAGAGCAAUUCCUAAACUAAUUUAAAGGGGGUAAAAAGACUGAAAAAUCCUUCUUUCUGGAAGACAGCGGGCAAAAUCUAAACCUGGGACUUGUGGCUUUUUCUUUAGACAAAGCACUAGAAAUGUUCUCCUGCCUUCAGUGUUAAUCUCGCUUUCUUUUUUCUUGCACCUGCUAAUGUUCCCUCCCUCGUACGUCCCUCUUCCUUCCCCUCUUACAAGUUUAUUUAUUGUGACUAUUUUACCAGCUAUUGGUUCAACACACUCCACUCAAAUAUUCAUCAUUUAGUUCUCCGGGUAAAUCGUAUUUAAUCAGCACAGGAGAGAAAAUAGCAUAAUUAUAGAUGCCGGAUGCCAUUACACUCAGAAGAAAUUAAACCUUGUCUUAAGCUGUCCAGUGGUGCCUCUGAUGAAAACAAGCAGGCUGCACUGCUGGGGAGGUUACCGAGAGGUUAGCGGCCACAGAGGGCCAACCGUACCUUCUAGGCUCUCCGAAUCCAAGGAACAGGGAGCGGUGGAGAGGCAGAGUUAGGGAAAGAGAGAAGCUGCUAUGGAUUAACAGGGACCACCACGAUUUGCCAUAACGAAGCUGGUAAAUGUUUUGGGGUUUUUUUGAGAGUACGAUAAGCCAAACUCCUACAUUAAUCAGAGGGCAGGAAAACAAGGUUGCUACACAGAGACGUGGUGGUUGUAAACAAACCCUGUCCGCAGCAAUCCUCUCUUAAGAGUAAGGACAAAGAUAACGCAUGUUUCACCUCUGGCCUCAGGGUGAGGCUUGCUUUAGCAGCUGGUGAACCUUCAGAGCAGGAGCUAGGCUUCCUUGGCCGGUUGGUCGGCUUCGCACCGCAGCGCUGAGCUUUACCGGACUGCACGCGAACGGUUCGACACCAAAACGGAGGGAAGAGAGGGCACCCACACAAAUCGCCAACCCACGGGUAGCGCCUGGUCUACUUUGUGCCAAUUAGAGUACUUCUGUGGAAUGGGGCUUUUUUAAGGUAAAUAAUUCUAUUUCAGUAAUACUAAUGGACAAAUCUUUUACUGAUCGAUAAAGUCCGAAAAGUUAUUACAGCAACAAAGAUGCAAAUAGAUUCCUUAAGCUGCCUGGAGGAAGAAGUGGGGCAGCCUUCCCCAGCUGGCACCGAAGCACUCAGAACCUGGCGUUACCCUCGUACAAAGUACCCCAGCUUACCCGGGUUACGGCACAAAAUGCUACAGGAGACCUUUUACCUGGAGACGCUUCUUAUUCAUCACUCGACAUCAGUGCUCAGAAGCGACUUCCCAGGCUCAGACAGAACAAUGGCCAGAAAGGCUGAGUGUUGUAUUUUAUUUAUUAUUUAUUUUUUGCUAAUAAUACAUCUGAGGUUUAGAUAAGUAACUAAGAGGAAGGAGAGCUCCUUCUAGUCCAUCCUGCUGCCGACAAUUAAGAAACCUCAAAGUAAUUUUUGAAAAUGUCAGCGUCUCAUUUAGCAAACGGAUAAAUAAUGAAUGAAGCAUAAUCACUGUCCUGUGCUGGUGGUACAGCUUCGCGGUGUCAUUAGUAAACUAACGGUAUAAUAUCUUCGUGUCACAGUUUAAUUAUAUCUUGUAAUUAGUUUCAGCAAUGGAUUGCACAGAGUCAGGCCCCCUGAGCUAAACAAAAGGUAAUAGAACUUUCAGAGUCCUCGCAUAAAUCAAUUAUGAAAGUGUCCUGUGUUAUUUGAGGCUUGUUUGCUGUAAUUUUAUGCACAAAGAAGAAAUGAUCCCUGCUGCCUAUGGAGGGUGAUUCACCUUACCAAUUGCCUGCCUAAAUGAGUAUGAGUACUAGAGGAGCACGAGCCCACCCUGCGCUGUACAUCUAUCAAUGCCCGCUCGCCUAAAGAGGGCUGGUAAGCGUGGCUGCUGAGCGCGCGAGCCGUACGAGCGCUGGACCGAGAGCGUGCCCUGCCCGGUUGCGGACGCCACAAACGCAGCAACGUCCCUGCAGACACGGAAGGAUGGUGCUACGACUUCUGUGUGGCUGCUGCUGAUGCGUUAUAGGCCAGCACUGAAGCGAUAAUCGUGUCAUAACUGUGUAAUCCUCUGCGUCCAAAGCUGCACGUCGCUGCAUUUCUGUUUGUGAUCCCGAGAGGACCACACCACCAUCCAGGCAACACCUACGCCUUCCUUCUCCCUCUUCUUCAUCCACAGAGUGAAAAAAAUCCCCCCGCACGAGACGGCUGACCUCUGGCUUGCGCUGGCACAUCAAGACUAGCCACCAGCGCUGGUUCCUGGCUCAGCGGUUCUCUUCCUCGUGCAUUCCUGGGUUAGUCCUUUCUCCUGCUUGAUUUCUGAUAUUACUCGCUUGCUGCCACGCGAAUGAAUCAAGCAGGAGAGGGCCGUACUGGAAACAGACCCGUACUGGCCGAAGGGUCCACUGAGGUUACGCAAUUGUAAUUGCAGCAGAUCAAAAUCUCUGCAGCCAUCCUGCAGGCUGCUACUUAGCUCCGGAAAUUCUAUAGAAGACGCUCUGCUCUUAAGAGCUCUUUAUACCGCGCCAGCAGCACGUGCCUAUAUAAACUGCGGAUAUAAAAACCUGUACCUGUAAAGUGGCUGUGAAUGAUCUCCACUAUCCCAGCCUAUACCUUCUCACACAGUUUCAGGGAAAAGAGUUGCAUUACUGGAAUUAAAUGUAUAAAAUAAUGUUUUACAGUUCAGGCUUAAUAGCUGUAUUUUAUUUGCAUAUUUUUCCACGGUCGUCUUAAAAGUACUACGAGUUCUGUUACCAUCCCUCCACGUACCGAUGCACACGCAUGGCUCUCGCUGCUCUGGUGUCUGAGUGCUUGAAUCAUUUGUCUUUUCACGUUCCUCCUCUGCCCCCACUGCUUGGUGUUGGAAGCUGCCUAUGUUACGUGGGAUGGAGGAGGAGGAAAAAAAAAAUAAAAAAUAAAGCCGAACCUCUCAGUGUGUCUAAUUUUGGCCUACCGAGACCUCCAAAAGCAAAAAAGGCUCAAAGCAGAAGCAAAGGGCUAUCCGCAGGUCACCCAAUGCGAGUCUGAGUGUCUGGGAUCCCUACUGCGGGCAGCAGAGGAGAAGUGUGGAGAAGAGUCUGAAAGGUGCCAAGACAUGUAAUCGUCUCUGUUCUGAUCAAGCUGCAAAACACACUGGGGUCCUGGUUCAAAGCCCUCAUCAAGUCUGCCUUGAAAGUGAAUCUAGUGGCAUGCUGGCCUUUCUGU